GCAUAUCAAUAAGCGGAGGAAAAGAAACCAACAGGGAUUGCCUUAGUAACGGCGAAGUGAAGCGGCAACAGCUCAAAUUUGAAAUCUGGCCCUAGGCCCGAGUUUGUAAUUUGUAGAGGAUGUUUCUGGCGACGUGUCUUCCGAGUUCCCUGGAACGGGACGCCAUAGAGGGUGAGAGCCCCGUACGGUUGAUUACCUAGCCUCUGUGAAACUCCUUCGACGAGUCGAGUAGUUUGGGAAUGCUGCUCUAAAUGGGAGGUAUACGUCUUCUAAAGCUAAAUACCGGCCAGAGACCGAUAGCGCACAAGUAGAGUGAUCGAAAGAUGAAAAGCACUUUGAAAAGAGGGUUAAAUAGUACGUGAAAUUGUUGAAAGGGAAGCGUUUAUGACCAGACUUGAGUAGGUUGAUCAUCCGUGGUUCUCCGCGGUGCACUCUGCCUGCUCAGGCCAGCAUCAGUUCGCUUUGGGGGAUAAAAGCUUCGGGAAUGUGGCUCCCUCGGGAGUGUUAUAGACCGUUGCAUAAUACCCUGGAGCGGACUGAGGUUCGCGCAUUUGCAAGGAUGCUGGCGUAAUGGUCAUCAGCGACCCGUCUUGAAACACGGACCAAGGAGUCGUCUUCGUAUGCGAGUGUUCGGGUGUCAAACCCCUACGCGUAAUGAAAGUGAACGUAGGAGAGAGCUUCGGCGCAUCUCCGACCGAUCCUGAUGUUCUCGGAUGGAUUUGAGUAAGAGCAUACGGGGCCGGACCCGAAAGAAGGUGAACUAUGCCUGUAUAGGGUGAAGCCAGAGGAAACUCUGGUGGAGGCUCGCAGCGGUUCUGACGUGCAAAUCGAUCGUCAAAUAUGGGCAUGGGGGCGAAAGACUAAUCGAACCUUCUAGUAGCUGGUUUCCGCCGA
rnacentral:rRNA from 1 species